GCUCAGAGAGUAAAGCGUCUGCCUGCAAUGCAGGAGACCCAGGUUUGAUCCCUGG
rnacentral:tRNA from 1 species